GAUGAACGCUAGCGGCAGGCUUAACACAUGCAAGUCGAGGGGCAGCACGUCUUCGGAUGGUGGCGACCGGCGCACGGGUGCGUAACGCGUAUAGAACCUACCUUUUACAGGGGAAUAGCCCAGAGAAAUUUGGAUUAAUGCCCCAUAGUAUUAUUAGAUGGCAUCAUUUGAUAAUUAAACAUUUAUGGGUAAAAGAUGGCUAUGCGUUCUAUUAGCUAGAUGGUAAGGUAACGGCUUACCAUGGCGACGAUAGAUAGGGGUCCUGAGAGGGAGAUCCCCCACACUGGUACUGAGACACGGACCAGACUCCUACGGGAGGCAGCAGUGAGGAAUAUUGGACAAUGGGCGAGAGCCUGAUCCAGCCAUGCCGCGUGCAGGAAGACGGUCCUAUGGAUUGUAAACUGCUUUUUAUACAGGAAGAAACACUCCCUCGUGAGGGAAUUUGACGGUACUGUAUGAAUAAGCACCGGCUAACUCCGUGCCAGCA
rnacentral:rRNA from 1 species